rnacentral:snRNA from 1 species
AUACUUACCUGGCAGGGGAAAUACCAUGAUCACGAAGGUGGUUUUCCCAGGGCAAGGCUUAUCCAUUGCACUCCGGAUGUGCUGACCCCUGUGAUUUCCCCAAAUGUGGGAAACUCGACUGCAUAAUUUGUGGUAGUGGGGGACUGCGUUCGCGCUUUCCCUGA